GAAGCUAGGGGUCCUCUCUCUCUCGAUGAGAAACGAGGAUUAGAUUGUGUGUGAUGACCUCUCCCGCUCUCACAUGUUCCCUCUUCUUCAGACGUCUCAGAAGUUUUUGGUUGUUUUUCUUCUAGCGUCACUGAGAUAAGUGAGGAAGGAAGCAUGUGUAAAGUCGGCAAAAAAAAUUUAAUUGUACUGAUCU
ensembl:ncRNA F57B1.13 ncRNA